UACGUAGGGUGCAAGCGUUGUCCGGAAUUAUUGGGCGUAAAGAGCUCGUAGGCGGUCUGUCGCGUCUGCUGUGAAAACUCAGGGCUUAACCCUGAGCUUGCAGUGGGUACGGGCAGACUAGAGUGCGGUAGGGGAGACUGGAAUUCCUGGUGUAGCGGUGAGAUGCGCAGAUAUCAGGAGGAACACCGGUGGCGAAGGCGGGUCUCUGGGCCGUAACUGACGCUGGAGGAGCGAAAGCAUGGGGAGCGAACAGG
rnacentral:rRNA from 1 species